ACUUUCAACAGUACAUCAAUAGAUCAAACAGAAUUCUUGAAAAUUCCGACAUGUCUACUUUACUGUCACGAUGAGGCCGCCCUCAGGUUGGAAGAACAACAUCUUAUAUUCUGUCCGGAUAGCCUCCAAACUGAUGGCAUGAACAGAACAUUGAUUUCUCGAGCUUCCGAUGCCGGAAUAAAGUCUGCCAAAGGCCACACUUGCUUUGGUGAUCCUGGUGUUUGUUUCACCAUCAGUGACGAUGUUCUGGGACAGUGUGCUACCAAGCUGUGACAGGACCCCUGCUAGAUGUGCUAAGAGGGCCAGGGAAGGAAUGGAGCAGGAAAUGUUUAGGGCACCUUUUCCAGCCCCUUCCUCAUACCAUGGAGGUGAACAGUGCAUUCCUGAAGAGGGCUGCUCAGUCGUUCGGGUGGCUGCGCUAUGCCAGUGGA